ACGCGGGAAUAUAUGCUAAUGGCCAAACCAACCCCAUAAUAGGAUGAGCAAAAGUAAUGAGGACUUUUUGGAAAAAUGGAAGCUGGCCGUGGCAUAUCUGAAUAGAGAGUCAGUGACAUAGAGGAGCUCCAUUAGGAAUUCAGGACAACUAUGUACAAGGAUAGAUACAUUGCAUUAAAGGCUUCAUGGUGCUUCAGCAUUAACUCUCAGCCCUCCUUCUGGAAUGUUGCCAACAAACUCCUUUGUGACAGCGGAGAAGACCCUUGGACACUGACACCAUGGUAACCCAGGGCAAUUUGAAUUGACAUUCAGGGAUACCUAGAGUGGACUGACUUCUUAACCUGAUCUUGAGGUAUUAUUGUUACAUUCCCAUGUGUCUUUUGGAGAGAAGGAGAACUUUAUACAAAAGAUUACCAUCUGGUCAGCCUCACCUCGAUACCAGGAAAAGAUCAUUAAGGAAGAGGUCUGCAAGCACUUAGAAAGGAAUGCAGUCAUUGCUAAUAGCCAACAUGGAUUUAUCAAAAACAAUUCAUGCCAGACUACUUUGGUCUCUUUUUACAAUAGAGUUACAAACUGGGUAAAUGCAGGGAAUGCCAUGGAUGCAGCAUAUCUGGAUUUCAGUAAGGCCUUCAACAAGGUCCCGCAUGACUGUCUGGCAAACAAACUAGUCAAAUGUGGGCUAGACAAAACUACAAUUAGGUGGAGCUGUAAUUGACUAAGUGAAUGAACCCAGAGGGUUCAUCCUGGAAAGAAGUGACAAGUGGAAUGCAGCAGGAUUCCGCCCUGGGCCCGGUUCUGUACAACAGCUUUAUUCAUGACUUAGAUGAAGGAUUAGAAGGCAUGAUCAAGUUUGCAGAAAAUACCAAAUUGGGAGGGAUAGACAAGAUAGGAGCAGAAUUCAAAACAACCUUAACAGAUUAGAGUGAUGGGCCAAAACUAACAAAAUGAAGUUCAUCAGGGACAAAUGCAAGAUACUCCAUUUAGGAAGAAAAAAUGAAAUGCAAAGAUACAGAAUGGGGGACGCCUGGCUCAACAGCAGUAUGCAUGAAAAAGAUCUUGGGGUCCUCAUGGACAACAAAUUAAACAUGAGCCAACAGUGUAAUGCUGCAGCAAAAAAGCCAAUGGGAUUUUGGCCUGCAUAAAUAGGAAUAUAGUGUCUAGAUCCCGGGAAGUCAUGCUACCCCUCUAUUCUGCCUUGGUCAGGCCACACCUGGAAUACUAUGUCCAAUUCUGGGCACCACAAUUUAAGGGAGAUGUUGACAAGCUGGUAUGUGUCCAGAGGAGGGCAACUAAAAUGAUCAAGGGUCUGGAGAACAAGCCCUAUGAGGAGUGGCUUAAAGAGCUGGGCAUGUUUAGCCUGCAGGAGAGAAGGCUGAGAGGAGACAUGAUAGCCAUGUAUAAAUAUGUGAGGGGAAGUCAUAGGGAGGAGGAAGCAAGCUUGUUUUCUACUGUCCUAGAGACUAGGACAUAGAACAAUGGCUUCAAACUACAGUGGUAUAGUUCCACCUGAACAUUAGGAAGAACUUCCUAACUGUGAGAACUGUUCAGCAGUGGAACUCCCUGCCUCAGAGUGUGGUGGAGGCUGCUUCCUUGGAGGCUUUUAAGCAGAGGCUGCAUGGCCAUCUAUCGGGGGUGCUUUGAAUGCGAUUUUCCCGCUUCUUGGCAGGGGGUCGGACUGGAUGAUCCAUGAGGUCUCUUCCAACUCUAUGAUUCUAUGAGGAACACUUGGCUCUCCAAGAUGUUGAGCUCAAUCUGCAACUUUUGGCAUUAGUUCUACUGGCAAGGGCUGGUGGAAGUUGGAGUUUCAUCUCUGUGCCUCAUUCCUGUUUUACAGUAUGGCUUCGAUGAAAUGAAUUUGAAAUCAGAGAAAUUAUUGGUUGAAUAACAAAACAUCAUCAACAACACCUGAAGAUUUAAAAUAGAAUAAUACUACUACAUUUUUGUUUUUUGUAUGCUUGUAUGUAGGUUUUGUUUUAAUCUGUCUUAAUAAAAAACCUAAUCAUAAAAAAUUGGCAGAAUAAAUAAAUAGACUAUCACUCUCCUAUCCAUUAGAUGGAUUUCUAGUUUCAUUUUUCCAAAUCCAACAAAAUAUGUCAUCUCUAGGUAUUUUCUAGGUCCUCUAGCAUGACACUAUAUUGUUCUUGGACCAAAAGUGCUUUAUUUCAAUAGGGUUAACAAUUAUCCACUGUAUCCAUCUGCAGUCGAAGAAUGUAUCCUUCAUGGAUAUACUGUAUAGAACAGGCAUGGGCAAACUUUGGCCCUCCAGGUGUUUUGAACUUCCACAGUUCUUAACAGCCUAACUCCUUUUAGGAAUUGUGGGAUUUGAAGUCCAAAACACCUGAAAGGCUGAAGGUUCCCUGUGCCUGGUAUAGAACCUAUUAAGAAUGAUAGCAAGCCAGUUCAGUACAGUGAGUUGAAUGUUGGACUAUGGGGAAGCCUUGAAUCAAACUCAGCCAUAGAAACCCAUUGGGCAUCCUUGGCUAAUCACACUCCCCCAACUUGAGAGGAAGGCAGGGACAAACCUCCUCUGAAUAAAUCGUUCCAAGAAAACCCUAUGAUAUGGUUAUCAUAAGUUACAGUCUGCUUGAAAGCUCAUAACAACAACAGCAAGAAGAGUGGCAAAUGUGGGUUUCUUCUACUGCAUUUAAAUAUGAGUUAUCAUACACACUCUAAAGUGUUGGGGGAACUUGAAUCUUAAACUUAUAUUUGUGUGGGUUUAGAUAUGUUAAAUUUCUGCAAAUAUUUGGGUGGGAUUGGAUAUGUUAAAUUUCUCCAAAUGUGAAGAAUAAGUAAAUACACUUUGAGUACAGUGCCCUUAUGCCAUGCAAGAGUGAAGUUCUGUUUGUGUGAACUCCACUCCAACAUGUUAAGAUUAAGAAAGAGCUUGCCAGAUUCUAUUUUACUUUGUUUUAACACCACAGAAAUGUCACAGUUGAGCCCAGUAAGUGUUUGUUAACAGGGGGGAAAUUGGUGGCAAACAGAAAUACACAAACAAUAUCCAAGAUUCUUUUCUCUUGCCUUUGCAGUGAAAGCAUGUUGCAUGUCUGUUAUCUUUUUUAUUAAAUGAUGUCUCUGCA